UUCAUGGUUUCAGUGAAAUUUAAAUUCUAAGUACAGAGGACAGAUGUGUAUAUGUAUAUAUUUAUAUAUGUGUGUGUGUGCAUAGUAAAUUUCCUGUAUGAAAAACUUGAAAAAUAGUGACAAAUACAUGAAAAAUCACCAUAAUCAUUCUAUUCAGGAACAAUAUGUAUUAAUAUUUUGGUGUGUAUCUUGCCAAUUUCUUUUUUAAAAGUCUUUCUGAGAUUAUACUAUCUAUAAUUUCCCCAUCUCUGUAUAUUUCCUCAUAUCCUGUAUUCUUCAUAAUGAUAAUUUUUAAAUACUGUGCAGUAGUCUAGGGAAGUUUUAAUAACCUCUGAGCCUAUAUGGUUCCAGGUUUUUGCUACUGUAAAUAAUGCUGCUAGCAACAUUUCCCUGUAUAAAAUUUUUUUUUUUAUUUGGGGAAUUACUUGGCUCUUGGUACAUGUUGCUGGGUGGAUUGCUAAUCAAGAAUGAGCAGUUGAUUAUACAGUCUUACCACUUCUCAUUUGACUUGACCUAUGGAUAAUUCAGAUGAAACUGUUCAGAAGAUGUAAUGUGACAUCCACCGGAGUCACAGGCUGUGCCCUCACCCUCUGUAGUUCUGUCGUGGACUUGGAGCUUGGUUCUGCCUGCUGUCCACUCUGCUCUGCAUUAUCUGCUGUAAACAUGCCAGUCACCUGUGCUGACUUUACGGACAGUCUGCAGCCUGGCAGGGCCAGGUAGAAAGGUGGGAGCCAGGUAGGGGAGGAGGUCACUGUGACGACCUGGCUGCUUUCUGUUUGGAUAACUGGUAUUCAAAACGGAGAAAGCCAUGUGAUUUUACUUUCAGCAGAAGUGAAAAAACCCCUGAGAACAUUGAAGACACGUGAAAGGACAGAGGCAGACCUUACGAAGCAGAGCCAUCCAGACGCAGUUGUUUCACCCACGUGGAUGUCUUUUACUGUGACAGUGGGAACUACAGUUGCCAAUUUUCAGGAGACCUAAAAAUUGGUCUAUUUCAGAUGGAUGCAGGUUUUAAAUUGGCCCCUGGAUAGUACAUUUCUUUUAAAAUUGAACCUUAAUUGAUUUUGAUUUUUUAAAGCUUGAAUUAAGUAGAAAAUUAAGGGCUUUUUAUAAUUAAAGAUGGUAAUAUAUAUUUAACUUGGAUGAUUACCUAAUAGAGAAUUAUUUAUACCCUAUUAUUAUUUUUAAAUAUUUAGUGUUUGCCACAAAAAGCAGAAAAUAUUCUGUCUUGUUGUUGAACUCUCUUUAAUUCAUAUUUUAUAAGUCACAGACCAUUCUGAACAGGUUUGGGGAAGUUAGUGAAAACAUAGCCAGUAUGAUUUGUUAGCAUUAACAAAAUAUAUGCAGUUUUUUAUUCAUUUCUAAAUUGGAAUUUUUAGAAUUAUGAAUAUAAAUAUUUAUGCUCUUUCUGUUUUGAAGAAAGUACCUUAUUUCCUUAUGUGAAAAAUUUAUGCAAGAGUUCAAAAAAGCUCCAGGAAUAGAGUAAUAUUUUGAAUGGAAUUAAUUGUUUUUCACUUAACCAGAGUGGCCAAAUACUAUUUCAGCACAGAUUUAGUCCCAUUUCUGGACUUCCAAAACAAGAGACUAUUUACGAAUUCAUUUCAGUUUGGGUAUUUAUAAGAAGAAAAGACUGUUCUGAUGGCUGUGGAGUAGUCCUAAACACUGAGGCUUGGGAAAAAUACAAAGAUAAACUACAGUGAUUACCACUGAUUUACCUUUGCACCUUUAUCAUUCAAAUGACCUUUACUCAAGUGAGAGGAGAAGAUGCCCCUUAUUUGCAUCUGACAGAUGGGAAAGCAGCUCUGAGAAGAUAGCCUCCGCUAGGCAAAAGCAGAAGGAUCCAAAAGAUCGGUCUUGUGUGAAAAAAGGACUGCAGGUAAUGUGUGGACGACUGCACAUUGUUCGUUUCCUGGGUCGUCGGUAAUGACAGGAUUUUCAGACUCAGAUGAUGCAUAUUGAAAGAUUAUCGGGCCAUCUGUGUCUCUUCAGCUGCCUGCUGAGAAAACCAAGUGUUCCCAACAAGGGUUAAUGUGAUCUGUUGACCCCAGCUGACAAACAGGUCAUGGCUAUCCCUCCUGAUGAAGACUCUGGGAGCCAAACUCAAAUCUGCAGGAAUUCACAGAUUCGACAGAUUUAAUGUGAGAACAGGGCUUCUCCGUGUUUUGGACGUCACUGAAGGCCCUGUAGCAGUACCUGUGCUUUUCUGGCUGCCACCGCCACUGCCACCGCCAACAGCGGUGUUUGUUCCCUUUGUAUGUUAGCUAAACUGAGAAGUGUCUAGUACGUUUUUUAGGUUCGUGGACACUUGAUGUGAUCCCCAACCAUUUUUUAAAUCAAAAGCUAAAUAAAACACUCCACUAGGACUAAAUGAUCUGAAUAGGGCCGUUUUCUAAUUUUUAGGAAUUUUCUAGUAAAUGAAGGCAAAAUGUUCUCACUGAGGUUUGACGGCUAUUAUUGUCUCCUGACAAAGGAAGUAAACAGUUUUCAGUCACAAAACACGUUAAAGUAAUAGUUGAAGUAAUGAGAAAAGUUGAAUUCAAGGUAAAAGGUAAAAGUUGAAUUAACCUUCAGUAGCUAAAGGUUAUUUUACACAGGGAAGGUGUGUAAUGUGUGUAUAAGGUACUGAGGAGAGUAUUUCCUGUAUGGCAUUUUUAUUCUCUCUUUUGAAUUAACUGUAGCACAGGAAGUGGCAAACUGUGGCCUGUGAGCCAAAUCUGGCCCCACUGCCUGUUUUGUGUGGCCUUUGAGCUGAGCAUGGUUCUUGCAUUCAUAUAUCAGAAUAGCUAAGAAAAAUUAAAAGAAUGUUUUAUGACAUGUGAAAAUUAUAUGACAUCCAAAUUUCAGCGUCCAUAAAUAACCUUUAUAAGAACACAGCCAUGCUUGUUUGAGUAUAGCCGAUAGCUGCUUUUAUGCUACAGUUAGGCAGAGCUGUCUAGUUCAGAGACCAUACAGCCCCAAAGCCUAGAAUAAUUACUGUAUAUCCCUGCUCUAGCAAAAUAUUACUAAUGUCACAAAUUAGAGUUUUCCUGUGUUUUCUUUUUUUUUUAAUGUAAAAUUUUGGCAAAUGGAAUGUGAUUUGUUUCUUUUAUCAAAUGAAAUGGCUAACAUUUCCAGUAGAGUGGUAGAGUACAUCUCUCAUUUUAUAAGGACAGUGGAAAAUAGGGGCCAAACAUAAAGUUUCUCUAUUGUGUAUCUGAAGGGCCAAGGGCUCACUCUCCUGGAAAUUGGUUUCCUCUGGGUCUGUGUCCCAGAUGGUCGGCCGACAGGCUGCCCAGCAGCUCCUCCCUGUGUGCACAUGCCACUUCUCCUGAAGAGGUCGUCCCGAGUCAAGGCUGGCCUCCCACUUACUUCGACCCAUAGAAUAUGUUGAUUGUGAUACUGUGUGACUUCCAGGUAUUGGCCUUUAGAAGUUGUGCAGCUUCAGUUUCGUCUUCUUGGCAACCAGCCACCAGGUAAAAGAGGCUCCAGCUGGACUCGCAAAGGAUGACAGGUGACGUGGAGAAGGAAGGCAGGACAGCUGGCAGUCAUUGCCAUGGCCAGAAGUAACCGGGGGUCAUCCUGGAUAGCUGAGCUGACACAGGGCUAAGCCCUACUCGAAUUCUUUUUUUUUUAAAUUUUAUUUUUCAAUUACAGUUGACAUGCAUUAGUUUAUAUUAGUUUCAGGUGUACAGCAUAGAGGUUAGAUAAUUACCUACUCGAAUUCUUAACCCUCAGAAUUUUAAGCCAAUGAAAUGGUGGUGGUUUUAAGUCACUAAGUUUUGGAGUACUUUGUUAUGUAGUAUUACCUAACUAAAAAGGUUUAGGGAGAUAUGUGAUUUUUUAUUAUGAAAGAUGAAAGAGAAAAAUAUCUGACUUAGGGUGUUAGAGAACUGAAGUCAAAUAAACACUACAGUCACAUGCUUGAGUUCUUGGGACAUAUGGUUCAUUGAAAAAUUUCAUACUUAUUUUUAUGAUUAUAAAGCACAAUGUAUGCUUGUGGAGAAAAUGUAGAAAAGGAUAGAAAAUUCUAAUGCAUAAUAUUUAAAUUACUCACAAUUCUGCCAUUUAGAGAAGAAUCACUGUUCUAGCCUUUUCUUUACAUACAUUUUUUACUUUAUAAAAUUAUAAAUAUAUAUAGUUUUGUACUCUGCUUCAUUUUGAUAAUAUUAUACUGUUAAGUAUAUUUCAGAACAAUAAUUUUUAAUGACCACAGAGGCCUAUUUAAGUGAGUUAUAAUACAUUCACAUAAUUCAAAGGUCUUCAUUUUCUAUUUCCAGGUUUGCUAGUUAGAGAAUUUUUUUUAAAGCAAAGCUUUUUUGAAAAAACACCUUUAAUGAGCUAUAAUUCACUUACCAUACAAAUACACAAUUUAAUGUGUGCAAUUCAGGAGAUUAAAAAUGGUGGCAGAAAAGAAAACAAAAUAAAGUGUGCAAUUCAGUUUUUUAGUAUAUUCACAGGAUUCUGUACGAUUGUCACUAUCUAAUUUUAGAACAUAUUUGUCCCCUCUAAAAGAAACCAAACUUCAUCUUUCUCCCAACCCCAACCCCUGCUCUAGGCAACCACAAUUCUACUUCCUGUCUCUCUAGGUUUGUAUAUGGUAUUCUGUGACUGGCUUUUUUCACUUAGCAUAAUGGUUUCAAGUUUCAUCUGGGUUGUAGCAUGUAGUAAUAUUUCAUUCCUUUCGAUGGUUAAAUAUUUUUUAUUUAACCAUAUUUUAUUUAUCCAUCAAUUGAUAGAUAUUUGGGUUGUUUCUACUUUUUGGCUCUUCUGAAUAAUACUGCUAUGAACAUUCAUGUACAAACUUUUCUGUAGACAUAUGUUUACAUUUUUCUUGGAUAUAUACCUAAGAGUAAAAUUCUUGAGUCACAUGGUAACUAUGUCUAACUUUCUGAGGAAUUCCCAAGCUGUUUUCCUAAGCAGUUGUAUAAUUUUGCAUUCCUACCACCAAUGUACACAGUUUCUAAUAUCACUACAUCUUCGCCAACACUUGAUAGUGUCUUCCUGAUUAUAGCCAUCCUAGUGGGUGUGGAGCAGCACCUCAUUGUGGUUUUGAUUCACAUUUUCCUAAUGGCUAAUUAUGUGGGGCAUCUUUUCAUAUGCUUAUUGGACAUUUUUAUAUCUUUUGGGGGGAAAUAUAUUCAAACAUUUUGCCCAUUUUUUUAGUUAUCUUUUUAUUACUGAGAUGUAAGAAUCUUUUAGGAUACAAGUCCCCUAUUAGAGAUGUUAUUUGCAAAUCUUGCCUCCCAUUUUGUGGGUUUUUCCCCCAUCUCCUUGAUAGUGUUGUCUGCAGCAUUGAUAUUUUCAAUUUUGAUGUAGUCCAGUUUAUUAUUUUUGUUGUCACUUCUGCCUUUGGUGUCAUAUCUAAGAAACGAUGGUCUAAACCAGCUAACAAAGAUUUUAGAGAAUUAUUAAGUAUAUCAUUUUAUUUAUUUAUUUAUAUCAGGUUUGUGUGGUUUUUUAAAAAGUACAGACCCUUUCAGGACAAUACAUGUGUAGUUUUUUUUUUUUUAAAGGGCUGCAUAACAUUCAGUGGUAUAAAUAUAUCCUAAUUUAUUCAACCACUAUUGAUAGAUAUAGUCUUAUUUCCAGGUUUUGUUUGUUUGUUUUGUGUGUGAGGGGUUUUUUUUUUGCCACAAACAAGACUGCAAAAUAUUUACUAUUUUGUUCUGGUGCCUUUAUUCCUGCAGGAUACAUCACCUAGGAUGGAAUGGGAUGAUACUUUCUUCAAAAUCUAAGUUGCUAGGAUUUGUCCUGCAUUGGAAUUUGAACACUCCAGUCAGCUGGUUAGGAAAAAAGAUUAUGAAUGCGCUGUCGAGGAGCUUUUGUAAAAGAGCAAAUUCAUUUCAGAAAACUGGGCCGACCUCAUGAUCCAUUGCUCUGUAGACAGCUUUCUUUACCGUCUUUAAGGAGGAGACCAAAGGAGGAGAGGCAUGAGGAAGAGCAGGAACUGCGCAGCAGACUGCCCUGUAGCGCACGGAGGUGGAGUUUGCGCAUUUACCCACAAAUGGUACUUGGGGAUUGCCAUCAGCAUCCAGAGAGCAUUUAAGGAAUAGAUCAUCAUGUACAAUAAGUUGUUCCUUUACCAAAAUGUAAAUUAGUUUUCUUUGACCAGGUUGGGGAAUAUCAAAGAAAUAGCAUUCAAAGAUGAUGCCGGAGGGUUAGUGAGGCUUUAACACUUCCUGGCCUUUGAUGGGGCAGAGGCCAUUCGCUCAGAAAAGUGCC